rnacentral:RNase_P_RNA from 1 species
UGAGCAGCACGGAUGGUCGCGCAGGCGGGUAAUGAAAGGCCGCAUGUGAGGAAAGUCCGGGCUUCGCAGGGCAGGAUGCCGGAUAACGUCCGGUGGGGGUGACCCUAAGGAAAGUGCAACAGAAAAGAAACCGCCGUCGGCUCUGCCGGCGGUAAGGGUGGAAUGGCGGUGUAAGAGACCACCGCUUCACCGGUAACGGUGGAGGCUGUGUAAACCCCAUCCGAAGCAAGGCCAAGAAGGGGAGCCGUAUGGCGGCCCGUCAUGCUCCCGGGUAGGCCGCGUCCUAUCGGUGAGAUAGGAGAGCUGUAUGGUAACAUGCAGUCAAGAAAGAUGAUCAUCCAAGACAGAACCCGGCUUAUAGUGCUGCUCGCAUU